CCAACGUGUCCCUGAACAGGACACUUAACCCCUUGUUGCUCCGGAGCCGUGCGACCUCUGAGAUAUAUAGGAAUUGUAAGUUACUUUGGAUAAAAAGCGUCGGGUAAAUGACAUUUAAUAA